rfam:Candidatus Berkelbacteria bacterium CG2_30_39_44 cg2_3.0_scaffold_3439_c, whole genome shotgun sequence.
CGGGGAUUGGCGCAGUUGGUAGCGCGCAGGGCUGGGGGUCCUGAGGUCAGGAGUUCGAGUCUCCUAUCCCCGA